UACGUAGGGCGCAAGCGUUGUCCGGAAUUAUUGGGCGUAAAGAGCUCGUAGGCGGCUUGUCACGUCGGUUGUGAAAGCCCGGGGCUUAACCCCGGGUCUGCAGUCGAUACGGGCAGGCUAGAGUGUGGUAGGGGAGAUCGGAAUUCCUGGUGUAGCGGUGAAAUGCGCAGAUAUCAGGAGGAACACCGGUGGCGAAGGCGGCAUCCUGGACCAACACUGACGCUGAUGAGCGAAAGCCAGGGGAGCAAACGGG
rnacentral:rRNA from 1 species